UUUGAAUUUUAUUAAACCAGCAAAUACAUUGUAAAUAGACAACCAGAAGAUUCAGAAACAACAAAAAUUAAGAGUAGCUUGCAGUAUCACAUGUUCGCACUUUUUAGGGGUUGCACGAAUCAUAGAGUCACUUCAACGGGGAAAAUUUACCAUCUCCUAACAACUAGAAGGAGAAUUACAGAUACAAAUAAAGGUUCUAGAUAUAAAAACUUGUUAAUGAAGCUCAUUGGUUCAACUGCCCUCGGAUUUCUCCAGUGUUGCCAAAUAAAAAGGAAAAUAAAGGUUCUAGAUAUAAACACUUGUUAAUGAAGCUCAUUGCUUCAACUGCCCUCGGAUUUCUCCAGUGUUGCCAAAUAAAAAGGAAAAUAAAGGUUCUAGAUAUAAACACUUGUUAAUGAAGCUCAUUGCUUCAACUGCCCUCGGAUUUCUCCAGUGUUGCCAAAUAAAAAGGAAAAAAAAUAGAGACAAGGUGACAAUGUUAGUACCAAAACCAGCUUCACUUAACAGCAAGUAAUAAGAAGUGAUAACCAAAUACAGCACCAUGAAGAUGGAAAUUAUAAAUUAUAGCAGUUAAAUGUAGUUGAGAUGAAAAAGAGUUCCCAAACAAAAAAAGAUCUCAUAAUACUUCAGAAAGUCAGUCAAGUUCGUCAUUGAUCAACUAAUAGUUUUAUCUGAAUUUUCCAAGCACAAAUCCCUCUGCAUAACAACUUUAGUACACGGUUUUUCCUAAUUGUUCUUUUGAUUAGUUCAGCAGAUAAACCAUGUUGAUUAUCAUUUCUUUAUUGGCUAGGUCUUUCUGUAGCAUCAUCACAUCAAGGGGACAGUAGCCUAAUGGAAGUGCCAGUCAUAGCAUUUCAUGGUGCUUUCCAUGAUAAGACAAAGGAGACUGGUGAGGCAGUGUCUCCUUCACUGGAGCUACACUAGCACAAUAACCUCUAAAUAGAAAUAUUUGAGAGCAAUACGAAAAGGUUCUCAGUCGAUUUACAGAGGGCAUCCAAUUUUUCUAAGAGGAGGUUCUACCUGCGGAAUACAUAGCCAAGAUAAAAACAAGUACUUACUCUGAAAAUAGUUGUAGAGAGGAGAGAAAAAUAUGCAUGAUAUAAAUCAAAAGGUUAGAAGUCCAACUGAAUGUUGAGUGAGGCAUUAGGUGUGUUUAUAUAGAGGGAGAAAAAUGAUGAGAUGGAUCGGUUUAAUUACUCAUGAAAGAUGCCUUGUUNNNNNNNNNNNNNNNNNNNNNNNNNNNNNNNNNNNNNNNNNNNNNNNNNNNNNNNNNNNNNNNNNNNNNNNNNNNNNNNNNNNNNNNNNNNNNNNNNNNNNNNNNNNNNNNNNNNNNNNNNNNNNNNNNNNNNNNNNNNNNNNNNNNNNNAGAUUAUCAAGGUUAAUGGAGAUGGUUGUAGAGACUUAAUUUACAAAAUAACCCUUACGGUCAAGAAUGACACGGAGGAACAUUUUCGAACGUCUAUAUAAAUCUUUGAAGUUCCCAAUCGUCAGGCUAAGGGUAAUGAGAUCUUUUGUACAUUCCUUUUUUUUUUUAAGUUUCCUAAAAAGAGUGACCUACUUUUUUUAAUAUGUUUAAAAAAAUAAUUCCUUUUUUUUACAACACUUUAAUUUCAAAUUUUCGCUUGACAUGCUUAAAAUCAUAAAAUUAAAUAAUAUUUUGAUAUAUUUGACAUAAAUUUAAUUUAAGACAAUAUAAAGUCGAUCUAAUCAUACCACAAAAUUGAUCUACCCACCACUAAAGAGACAUUACAUAGCCAAUGAAAAUAAAAAAUAGGUCACACUCGGGAGCCGCAUUUUGCAUUUAAUAUAUGUGCUUAUAAUUUCCAGCAUCCCAAUCCCUUUUACAGGAAAAUCAACAUGUAGCUCAAACAUGUCCAAUUAUAUAUUUACUUUGUGUUAUUUUUAUUUGUCACAUUUUGAUUUAACUUGCAUAGUAAAAAAAUAAUUAAUAUGAUUAUUUUAUUAAAUUUCUUAGAAUGUUUUAGAAAUAUUUUGUAGUGAUGAUAAAAACUGUUUAACCCAUAAUUGCAACUAUAACAAAAUAGUUCCUUCAUCACUACAAAAUAGUUUCAUCAUCACUAUUAUCUGAAAUAUAAUUGUCUCAUUUAAAUAUUCGACAACAGAAAAAAUUCAUCAACGCACAACCAUGAAUAGAACAUAUCACAAUCACAGCUCUAACAAAACAGAUCAAUCCAGCAGCAAAAAAAUUCACUACUUCCCUCACGAAGGAAUGAGACUCACCUGAUUUUUGCAAAUCCCUUAUAGCACAGGUUGUUAAAAUAGGAGAGACAUAAAUAGUACGCGUGACAGGUUGUUGUUUGAUGCAUUCUACUAUAGUCUUUUUACUCACCCUGGCCAUGUUAAAUUUCUGUAAUCAGCUAUCUUGUGUAUUCCCUGCAUAAAAAAACAAACGAUAAAGAUAAAAACUUUUACUGAACAAUACAAAGAAUUACAGUUACACACCGUGUCACGUGUCAUUUUGCAUUUACUCCUUGCCCUAAUAAAGCGAUAAUCUAAAAACUACAACUCAUCAUCCGCAUCCUCAUUCUCAGCCUCACCCAUUCUAUUAUCAAUAUUUCGUUGAUAUAUCCAGCUAUAAUCAGGUUCCAUCUAUACAAUUAAUCACAUUCAAGUAAUUAGUUCAAGUCACAAAAGUUCACAUUUCAAGUACCUACACUUAAAUAUUUUCAAGUCACUAAUUCACUUCUCAAGUGACCACACUUCACUAAAAUGAAAACGUUUCCUCCUUACAUCAGCCUUGUUGCUUAGUAAAUCAAUAUGUCAUUGUACGGCUAAAAGGGAAACUCAUUUUUCUUCAAUUUUUUUAGAAGUUUCAGUGCAGUCAAUCCGUUGUUGUCCAUGUUUGAACAGCAACUGAGGGGUAGUAUUCAAUCAUGCAGUCAAACAGUUGUUGUCCAGGUUUGAAUAGAAACUGAUUGACUGUAUGUUUGAACACUACCUAAUGAUUGAAACUACUACAAGAAUAGGAAAAAAUGAGUGUUUCCCCUUUUAGCUAUACGAUAGCAUAUCGAUUUACUAAGUAACAAAACUUAUGUAAGGAAAAAGAUUAUCGCUUCAUUAAGGCAAAGAGUAAAUGCAAAACGCCAUGUGACACAGUGUGUAACUGUAAUUCUUUAUACUGUUUAGUAAAAGUCUUAUCGUUACCGUUUGUUUUUUAUGCAGGAAAUACUCAAGAUAGCUGAUUACAGAAAAUUUAACAUGGCCAGGGUGAGUAAAAGGACAUAGAAGAAUGUAUCAAACAACCUAUCACGUGUACUAUUUAUGUACACCCCAGUUUUAACAGCCACAUUGGAGAGGUUCUCAUCUAUAUUUUUCAAUUAAUGUUGUCUUCUAAUUUUCUUGCUAGUUUCUUAAAUAUAGAGAGUUUAAGAUGGGGCUAUAAGGGGUUUGCAAGAAUCAAGCAUAGUUUGCUUUUUAAUUUAGGAUAUAUCGUGAGAGAAGUAGUGAAUUUUUUUUACUUCCAGAUUGAUCUGUUUUGUUAGAGUUGUGAUUGUGAUAUGUUCUGAUUGUGUGAAUUUUUUUUGUUGUCGGAUACUAAAAUGACACAACUAUAAUUUAGAUAGUAGUGAUUAUCAAACUAUUUUGUAAUAAUGAUGGAACUAUUUUGUAACAGUUAUAAUUGUGAGUCAAAUAGUUCUUCUUAUCAUUACAAAAUAUGCCUAAAACAUUCUAAAUAAUAUUUAAUGUGAUUAUUUUAUUAAAUUUCUUAGUAUGUUUUAGAAAUAUUUUGUAGUGAUGCUAAGAACUAUUUGACCCAUAAUUGCAAUUGUAGCAAAAUAGCUCCAUCAUCACUACAAAAUAGUUUCAUCAUCACUACUACUAAAAUAUAAUUGUGUCAUUUAAGUAUCCGGCAACAAAAAAAUUCACCAACGCACAACCAAUGAGUAGAACACAUCACAAUCACAGCUCUAACAAAACAGAUCAAUCCGGAAGAAAAAAAAUUCACUUCAUGAAGGAAUGAAGGCUCAUCUAUUUAUCACACAAUAUACUAAAUUAUAAAGCUAACUACGCUUGAUUUUUGCAAAUCCCUUAUAGCCCUAGGUUGUUAAAACUGGAUAGACAUAAAUAGUACACAUGACAGGUUGUUGUUUGAUAUGUUCUUCUAUAGUCUUUUUACUCACACUGUCAUGUUAAAUUUUCUGUAAUUAGCUAUUUUAAUAUUCUCUACAUAAAAAAACAAACAUUAAAGAUAAAAGACUUUUACUGAACAACACAAAGAAUUAUAGUUACACACCGCAUCACAUGGCGUCCUAAUGAAGCGAUAAUCUUCGUCCUUACAUAAACCCUGUUGCUUAGUGAAUCGAUAUGUCAUUGUACGACUAAAAGGGAAACACUCAUUUUUCUACAAUUUUUUGGCAGUUUCAGUGCAGUCAAUCAGUUGUUGUCCAUGUUUGGACAGCAACUGAUUGGUAGUAUUCAAUCAUGUAGUCAAACAGUUAUUGUCCAGGUUUGAACAACAAUUGAUUGACUGUAUGUUUGAACACUAUUCAAUGACUGAAACUACUAAAAAAAAUUGAAGAAAAAAGAAGUUUUUCCCUUUUAGCUGUAUGAUGGCAUAUCGAUUUGCUAAGCAACAAGGCUUAUGUAAGAAAGAAGAUUAUUGCUUCAUUAAGACAGGCUUAUGUAAGAAAGAAGAUUAUCGCUUCAUUAAGACAAGGAGUAAAUACAAAACGCCACAUGACGCGGUGUGUAAUUGUAAUUCUUUGAAUUGUUGAAGUCUUAUCUCUAUAAUUUGUUUUUUAUGCAGGAAAUACUCAAGAUAGCUAAUUACAAAAAAUUUAACAUGGUCAGAGUGAGUUAAAAGACGAUAGAAAAAUGUAUCAAACAACAACCUGCCAUGUGUACUAUUUAUGUCUAUCUCAGUUUUAACAACCACACUAGAGAGGUUCUCAUUUAUCUUUUUAAAUUAAUGUUCACUUCUAGUCUAAAAUAGUCUUUCUACUUCUCCGGAGGUAGUGAUAUGGACGGCAUACAUUUUACGCUCCCCAGACCCCACUGCAUAUUAAUGUUCACUUCCACUGCAUAUUAAUGUUCACUUCUAGUUUAUGGAUGAAACAAAUUUUCUACUUCUUCGGAGGUAGUGGUAUGGACUGCGUACAUUUUAUGCUCCCCAGACCCCACUGCAUGGGAAUACACUGUCUUUGUUGUUGAUGCUUUCUAAAACUUUUUCUUGCUUGUUUCUUAAAUAUAGAGAGUUUAAGAUAGGGCUAUAAGGGAUUUACAAGAAUUAAGCAUAGUUUGCUUUUUAAUUUAGGAUAUCAGGUGAUAGAUCAGUACUUCAUGAGAGUAGUGAAAUUUUUUAUUUUUUUUGCUGCCAAAUUGAUCUGUUUUGUUAGAGUUGUAAAUAUGAUGUGUUCUGGUUGUGUGAAUUUUUUUUGUUGUCGGAUACUAAGAUAACACAAUUAUAUUUAAAAAUGAUCAAACUAUUUUGUAGCAAUGAUGGAACUAUUUUGUGACAAUUGCAAUUGUGGGUCAAAUAGUUCUUAUCAUCACUACAAAAUAUUUUUAAAACAUUCUAAAAAAUAAUUAUAUGAUUAUUUUUAUUAAACAUUCCAAACUCGGAUAAUCUUUAAUGUCAAAUCCCUAUCAAAGUAAAAGUCGACCAAAUAGAGACAAACAUCACGUGUUGCAACCAAAUAUGUUCUUGUAAGAAAUAAGCUUUGGAAAAAAAUGUAGUAAGUUAUAUCAGACAAGUAUCCAAGAAUUUUAUUUGCUUGUAAGUACCACAUAAAAUGGUAUUGUUUUUCACAUUUCAUUUAUUUUCAUUAGCAUAUCCACAUAUGAUAUUCAAUCUUUCCCACGAUUCUGACAUAAGUGAGUAUAUCAAAACUAGCGAAUUCCGAUCCCCUCCCCCCCCCCCCCCCCUUUUUAGAAAGUAAAAUUAACCGCUUUUUUUUAUUAACAUGCUCUAUACUAAAAAAAGACUCAAAAGUCACUUCCUACCGAAUUGCACCACUUUGUAGAGUUGAGUAAUCAAACUUGAUGUUUAGCAUCCACAUGGUGUUAUUUAAUGGUGGUGGUUACUGUUUGACUGCCAUAUGAUGCCUUUAAAAGAAACAAGGAGAAGUAAUGCUUGAAAAGAUCAGCAAGUCAUUUUAUUUUGUCUUUUCUGUAAAAUUUAGGAUAUCCAUUAAUGUUUUUCCUCACUAUCUUUUCCUAAAACCCCUGUUGAGUUGCCUUCCAGCAACUAAGUUUCAUUCGAUAUCCAGCUAAGACAUAACUGAUUAUAGAGUUAGCCAAUUGAAUAGGAUUAUAUUUAAAACCAAUGAAGAGGUUAUAACGAAUUGAAACAUGGAAUGUCAUUAGAAAUUUCAAUUCCCAAAAAUUCUUCCUUCUUUUUGCUAGUUUCAACAACAGCAACAAACAUAGUGUAAUCCCACAGGAUGGUUCUGGGGAAGGUCGAAGAUAAGAAGUUUUGUUUUGGAAAGAAACUCGGCUGAGAAAUAAGUGAAAAAGAGGCAAUAGUAUCAAACAAAAACAACAGCAAGGCAAAACAACUAACUGGUACAUGUAUUAAUCUAAUAGUCUCCAUUUCAUUAGACCAAAACUCAAUAUUAUAAUCUCCCCCUAAGUCUGUCCAGAUCUAUAAAUCAUACUGAUGUGCCAAGUCGUGUGAACAAGUUAUGGAUACAACACAUUAGAAAAUAUGCAGAGCCACGUGUACUUAAAGGGUAUCGACCGACAUCCCUUUUUCAAAAAAUUACAUUGCACAGCUAGGCAAAAAUUUUACAUGUAUAUACUACAUAUUGACACCCCUCGAUUCGGGCUUAAGCCAACUCGACCAAGGGGGAGCUUAACUCGAUUUCAAUAAUAGCAGCAUAACCUCCGACUAAUGUAUGUAGACCAAGGACUUUACUUCUUCGUAAAUUUACUUCUUUAUACCGUGACAUCCCUUGGUUAAAGUUCUUGCUCUGCCAAUUAGGACCCAACCACAAGAAAAUUCAUGUUAUAUUACCUAUUUGACGGAAAGCAAUCUAUAUAAAAGAUGAACUUGAAAGAGAAAAAGGCAUCUAUAGAGCGAAAGGUGAAAAACACAUCUAAAGUAUUCCAAUUUUUGAAUUUCAUACCUAAACUAUCACUAAUUAGUUAGUAAAACACGCAUCAACUGCUAGGCAUGUAACUGAAAAUAUCAGGAUAGUAAAGGUGUGUUUUGGACCGUUAACACAAAUCUAUCUAUAUAAUAAAAGAUUUGAACUUGAUGGAGGAAAAACAAUCUAUAUUCAAAUAUGCAAACAGUUUUAGUAGGCACAUAGAUGAUAAAAGCAAGUAAGUACCUCGCUCUCCUCGAUCUGACCCACAUACUUGUUCCAGCGCUCAAAAUCUCUGGGCUUCCAAAAAUACCCUACUUCUUUGUCGACAAUCGAAUCGUCACCGUCGAUGUCGCUUCCAUCCGUCAGAGGUAAUUGAUCCGAAGUUUCGAAAACGCUCGAUUCUUCUUCUUCUUCUGCAUCUUCCUCCUCAUUCACCUUUUGCUUCUUCACCGACGGCUCAUAAUCUGAUUCGCGCGAAUAUUCCGAUUUGCUUUCCUUUUCACCCUUCUGAUGGCAGCGGUGGUGAUGAUGGCGGCGAUGGCUUUUCACCUUCUGAUGGUGGUGAUGACGGCGGCGGCUGUGACAACAAAUUGACAAAACCCUAGCAUCACAAAUUUGGGUAUGGACUAUUGCCCCAAUAGAGCCUUUAAAUAGAGGUGAACCCAAAACUUUUUGUUGGUUUUUUUUACAAACAGC
rnacentral:lncRNA from 1 species